UAGGGAAUCUUCGGCAAUGGACGAAAGUCUGACCGAGCAACGCCGCGUGAGUGAAGAAGGUUUUCGGAUCGUAAAACUCUGUUGUUAGAGAAGAACAAGGACGUUAGUAACUGAACGUCCCCUGACGGUAUCUAACCAGAAAGCCACGGCUAACUACGUGCCAGCAGCCGCGGUAAUACGUAGGUGGCAAGCGUUGUCCGGAUUUAUUGGGCGUAAAGCGAGCGCAGGCGGUUUCUUAAGUCUGAUGUGAAAGCCCCCGGCUCAACCGGGGAGGGUCAUUGCAAACUGGGAGACUUGAGUGCAGAAGAGGAGAGUGGAAUUCCAUGUGUAGCGGUGAAAUGCGUAGAUAUAUGGAGGAACACCAGUGGCGAAGGCGGCUCUCUGGUCUGUAACUGACGCUGAGGCUCGAAAGCGUGGGGAGCAAACAGG
rnacentral:rRNA from 1 species